GACGAACGCUGGCGGCGUGCCUAAUACAUGCAAGUCGAACGCUUCUUUCCUCCCGAGUGCUUGCACUCAAUUGGAAAGAGGAGUGGCGGACGGGUGAGUAACACGUGGGUAACCUACCCAUCAGAGGGGGAUAACACUUGGAAACAGGUGCUAAUACCGCAUAACAGUUUAUGCCGCAUGGCAUAAGAGUGAAAGGCGCUUUCGGGUGUCGCUGAUGGAUGGACCCGCGGUGCAUUAGCUAGUUGGUGAGGUAACGGCUCACCAAGGCCACGAUGCAUAGCCGACCUGAGAGGGUGAUCGGCCACACUGGGACUGAGACACGGCCCAGACUCCUACGGGAGGCAGCAGUAGGGAAUCUUCGGCAAUGGACGAAAGUCUGACCGAGCAACGCCGCGUGAGUGAAGAAGGUUUUCGGAUC
rnacentral:rRNA from 1 species